UUAUUUUUGAGUUGCUGACUUCGUGGCCCCCAGAUGCCGAAGGAGCCUGGAGGGGCAGCCUACCCGGCCAAGAGUGCGUGACGGCCCAGCCUGCAAUGGGAGGCACACGGCCCCGUGACAGGAUGUGACCAGAGCCAGGCCGGCAGGGACGAGGCGCGGGGACACCAGCCCAGGUGCACCCAGAGUUGCUGGUUCUGUUUCGUCGCCUUUUCAACCAUAGUAAGAUGGUGCCGAUUCACAUGAAUCUCCUGGUGAGGCUUCGGCUCACCCGUCAAGAGCCUCCUUCCCAUCGGGCACAUGUGCUUGCAGAGACCAGACUUCGGCCUGUCCUGCUGCCACGGAGCCUGUCCCGGGGGAGGGGGUCUCACAGCCCACACCGUGCGCCGGCGGACAGCUCUUCCGGGAGCAAGGUGUCGUCAGACACUGGUCCUGACCAGACCUGCCCCUUUGAAAAUGAGAAAGUGCCUGAAUCGA